rnacentral:rRNA from 1 species
GACGUAGGGCGCGAGCGUUGUCCGGAUUUAUUGGGCGUAAAGAGCUCGUAGGCGGCUUGUUGCGUCAGCUGUGAAAACCCGAGGCUCAACCUCGGGCCUGCAGUGGGUACGGGCAGACUAGAGUGCGGUAGGGGAGAUUGGAAUUCCUGGUGUAGCGGUGGAAUGCGCAGAUAUCAGGAGGAACACCGAUGGCGAAGGCAGGUCGUCUGGGCCACUACUGACGCUGAGAAGCGAAAGCAUGGGGGAGCGAACAGG